AACGUAGGACGCAAGCGUUAUCCGGAGUUACUGGGCGUAAAGGGCGUGUAGGCGGCCCUUCAAGUGGCUCGUGAAAGACUUCGGCUCAACCGGGGGUGGACGGGUCAGACUGGAAGGCUGGAGGAUGUCAGAAGGACACGGAAUUCCGGGUGUAGUGGUGAAAUGCGUAGAGAUCCGGAGGAACACCAGUGGCGCAGGCGGUGUCCUGGGGCGUACCUGACGCUGAGACGCGAAAGCAUGGGGAGCGAACGGG
rnacentral:rRNA from 1 species